CCGUAGGUGAACCUGCGGAGGGAUCAUUACAAGUGACCCCGGUCUAACCACCGGGAUGUUCAUAACCCUUUGUUGUCCGACUCUGUUGCCUCCGGGGCGACCCUGCCUUCGGGCGGGGGCUCCGGGUGGACACUUCAAACUCUUGCGUAACUUUGCAGUCUGAGUAAACUUAAUUAAUAAAUUAAAACUUUUAACAACGGAUCUCUUGGUUCUGGCAUCGAUGAAGAACGCAGCGAAAUGCGAUAAGUAAUGUGAAUUGCAGAAUUCAGUGAAUCAUCGAAUCUUUGAACGCACAUUGCGCCCCCUGGUAUUCCGGGGGGCAUGCCUGUUCGAGCGUCAUUUCACCACUCAAGCCUCGCUUGGUAUUGGGCAACGCGGUCCGCCGCGUGCCUCAAAUCGACCGGCUGGGUCUUCUGUCCCCUAAGCGUUGUGGAAACUAUUCGCUAAAGGGUGUUCGGGAGGCUACGCCGUAAAACAACCCCAUUUCUAAGGUUGACCUCGGAUCAGGUAGGGAUACCCGCUGAACUUAAGCAUAUCAAUAAGCGGAGG
rnacentral:rRNA from 1 species